rnacentral:rRNA from 1 species
UACGUAGGGGGCUAGCGUUAUCCGGAAUUACUGGGCGUAAAGGGUGCGUAGGUGGUUUCUUAAGUCAGAGGUGAAAGGCUACGGCUCAACCGUAGUAAGCCUUUGAAACUGGGAAACUUGAGUGCAGGAGAGGAGAGUGGAAUUCCUAGUGUAGCGGUGAAAUGCGUAGAUAUUAGGAGGAACACCAGUUGCGAAGGCGGCUCUCUGGACUGUAACUGACACUGAGGCACGAAAGCGUGGGGAGCAAACAGGAUUAGAUACCCCCGUAGUCCCUGAGCGGG